CCUCAAAGCUGCUGUAUUUGUACCGCUCGAGGCGCCAUGCAGACAUCGCAGAAAGGAGUGCCAUACUGGAGAGCCUGGAUAAAAAUGCAUCAAAUCACAGGAAGAGGGUUGCAGUACUGCUGGGGCUGCCACUGUCCAUGCGGGAGAAUCCAUCUCAGUUCUUACAGAUCCGUGAGCACACAGAUUCUGAAGAAGAGUUAAUCAAGGGCGUGACUGUUGGAAUCAGUACAGUUGUGGAUGACGUGAUGGACCCUAUUCCGUGUGACUGCAGUGAUGUAGCCCUUGUAAUGGAAGAAGUUGUCGUUCUACGCAAUCUUGGUGAUGUACCAAAUGCAUUUGUCAACUUGAUGGGAUUGCUUUAUGCACGUAACAUAAACUACCCCACAAACUUCAAAUACACCUUUGAGGUGAUUCAGCGGCUGUUCAUGAACAUCGGAGCUGAUGCCUGCAGUGCACGAGUACAUUCACUUAAAAAUAAUCUGCUCAAGUAGAGAUGGUGUUAUGCAUUUCUUGUAAGAGAGAUUUCAUGUGGUGUUGUGUUGUGUAUGUUACAGUUUCUAUACCUAAACAGCAUGACUUCAGUUUUGUUGUAUAUUUUCACCUUUAAACACCGGGCAAUUGAAAUGUAAUGUUGUUAGGCAAAAACAGAUUUCUG
ensembl:lncRNA